CUGCAAACCUCUAGCGUGCUUGGAUCUGGGCGACCCUGUGCAUUCCUACUGAGCUUGUGAGAACAUUUUGGAACGAUUUGAGGCCUUGCCCUGCUGCAUCCGGAGCAAGGUUAUAGACAUUUCAGACAAUU